rnacentral:rRNA from 1 species
AUUGAACGCUGGCGGCAGGCAUAACACAUGCAAGUCGAACGAUUGGCGGACGGGUGAGUACUGUCUGGGUAACUGCCCGAUGGAGGGGGAUAACUACUGGAGACGGUAGCUAAUACCGCAUACCAUCGGAUGUGCCCAGAUGGGAUUAGCUUGUAGGUGAGGUAACGGCUCACCUAGGCGACGAUCCCUAGCUGGUCUGAGAGGAUGACCAGCCACACUGGAACUGAGGAACGGUCCAGACUCCUACGGGAGGCAGCAGUGGGGAAUAUUGAACAAUCGGCGCGAGCCUGAUGCAGCCAUGUGGCGUGUAUGAAGAAGGCCUUCGGGUUGUACAGCACUUUCAGCGGGGAGGCGUUACCCGCAGAAGAAGCACCGGAUCACUCCGUGCCAGCAGCCGCGGUAAUUC